CCUACGGGUGGCUGCAGUGGGGAAUAUUGGACAAUGGGCGAAAGCCUGAUCCAGCCAUGCCGCGUGUGUGAAGAAGGCCUUCGGGUUGUAAAGCACUUUCAGUGGGGAAGAAAGCCUUGGGGCUAAUACCCUCGAGGAAGGACAUCACCCACAGAAGAAGCACCGGCUAACUCCGUGCCAGCAGCCGCGGUAAUACGGAGGGUGCGAGCGUUAAUCGGAAUUACUGGGCGUAAAGCGUGCGUAGGCGGUCUGAUAAGCCGGUUGUGAAAGCCCCGGGCUCAACCUGGGAACGGCAUCCGGAACUGUCAGGCUAGAGUGCAGGAGAGGAAGGUAGAAUUCCCGGUGUAGCGGUGAAAUGCGUAGAGAUCGGGAGGAAUACCAGUGGCGAAGGCGGCCUUCUGGACUGACACUGACGCUGAGGUGCGAAAGCGUGGGUAGCAAACAGGAUUAGAUACCCGAGUAGUC
rnacentral:rRNA from 1 species